rnacentral:rRNA from 1 species
UACGUAGGGCGCAAGCGUUGUCCGGAAUUAUUGGGCGUAAAGAGCUCGUAGGCGGUUUGUCGCGUCUGCUGUGAAAUCUCCAGGCUCAACCUGGAGCGUGCAGUGGGUACGGGCAGACUAGAGUGCGGUAGGGGAGACUGGAGUUCCUGGUGUAGCGGUGGAAUGCGCAGAUAUCAGGAGGAACACCGAUGGCGAAGGCAGGUCUCUGGGCCGUUACUGACGCUGAGGAGCGAAAGCAUGGGGAGCGAACAGG